UUGGGAGUAAUUUGAUGAAGAAAAAGUGUAAAUUUCGUGGGUUUUGGAGUGAGGGAGUGAAGGGAAGUGAAAGAAUGAGGAAAAGGGGAGAAAAACCAUUUAAAACGCACCUGCCCGCACGCGCGGCGACCCGGUGGCGGUCGGGCGGCGGCCGCCGGCUCCUUUGUUAAAUUUGGCCUGACCCCGGCGGUCAGGCGGCGGUCGCCGGGUCCUGCGAUUUUU
rnacentral:lncRNA from 1 species